rnacentral:rRNA from 1 species
CCUAAGAGAUUUUAAUCAAAAAACUUUGACGGUAUUAAUAUUUAUAAAGGAGUUUGUUUUUUAAUAGAUAACCCACAAUUUACCUUACUUAAAUUAUAUUUGUAUAUCACCGUAUAGAUUUUAUUUAAAAUUUCAUAAUGAAUAAUUUCAAAAUAUCAGGUCAUAACGCAGUUUUUUUAAGAUAAAAUGAACUACAGUAAUUUAUUAUAAACAGAUUAUUUUUUGAAAUAAAAAUAUGAAGAAGGAUUUAUUAGUAAAUAAAAAAUAAAUUAUUAUAUUGAAAAUUAUUAUUAAUAUGUACAUAUCGCCCGU